UACUUUUCUUACUCCAUGUAGGUUUCCCAGAGACUAUGGGUUGAGGAGGAAGUGGAAGUUUGUCGGCUUAGACCUGGUGUCAUUCCAUCAGUGUUAAACUUCCCGGCUCAUCUUGGAAGAGUACGUGCCAGAAAGACCACGACCAAGCAGCCUUGAGAUCUUAGCAGCGUCUCCCUCAGGUCCCUCACUAUCUCCCCACACAUCCACCAACCACUGGAACACAUCUCCAAAGUUCUGCUGGGCCAGCUCAGCUUCCCCUCAGAAGAAGUGCUGCCACCUGCCAGAUGAAGGAGCCUUUUGAGAGGCAGCUGGCAUCGUGAUUGGACUGUACUUUGGUCUGUUCCAAUCCAGCUUCAGCUCCAGAGACGGCAGGCGGGACGAGUCAACGGAGGCCUGGUGGACGAAGGCAUGCAGCUGAGUACAAUCCAGAAAACAACAGAGGAGGAGUGCAGUGGCCCAGGACCAGAACAACCAGAGUAGC
ensembl:lncRNA